rnacentral:snRNA from 16 species
AUACUUUUUUUGGCCUUUUGGCUAAGCCCCCCAGUAUCUAUUCUUAUCAGUUUAAUAUCUAGCAUGUGGGUUAUGUGUCCACAAUGAUAUUAAAUUAUUUUUUAUGAGUAAGGGACCGCCACGGUAGCUUGCUGUCGGGGCUCUCACGUGUCGCCUAGGCGUUGCACUAUUGCGUGGGCAUGGCGCACCCCAA